rnacentral:rRNA from 1 species
AGCCUGGUGGUUAUAAUUAUGAGUGAUACAUACGAUCCCAUUCCGAACUCGAUCAUGAAACCUCAUAAUGCUGAUGGUACUAUGUUAAAACAUGGGAGAGUAAGUUGCUGCCAGGCUU